UUCUGUAGCCAAAUCACCGAGAAUGUGCCCAAUCUUGUCAAAUCUCAGACGUUAAGCAGGGUUGAGCCUCAAUAGUGUUUUGAUGAGCAAUCCCUAUGCAUAGCAGAUGUUACAGGAU
rnacentral:rRNA from 1 species